GACGAACGCUGGCGGCGCGCCUAACACAUGCAAGUCGAACGGCGCUGAGAGAAGCUUGCUUUUCUUAGCUUAGUGGCGAACGGGUGAGUAACGCGUGAGUAACCUGCCCUGGAGUGGGGGACAACAGUUGGAAACGACUGCUAAUACCGCAUAAGCCCACGAUCCGGCAUCGUAUUGAGGGAAAAGGAUUUAUUCGCUUCAGGAUGGACUCGCGUCCAAUUAGCUAGUUGGUGAGGUAACGGCCCACCAAGGCGACGAUUGGUAGCCGGACUGAGAGGUAGAACGGCCACAUUGGGACUGAGCCACGGCCCAGACUCCUACGGGAGGGAGCAGUGGGGGAUAUUGCAAAACGGAGGGAACCCUGAUGCAGCGACGCCGGGUGGAGGAAGAAGGUUUUCGGAUUGUAAACUCCUGUCGUUAGGGACGAUAAUGACGGUACCUAACAAGAAAGCAACGGCUAACUACGUG
rnacentral:rRNA from 1 species